UUCUUUCAAACAGGCUCGUCCAAAAAGUCCUCCGGCCCAUGCGGCCCUCUUUAUCGCUGAGUCAUGUGGUUGACCCGGCCAACCAGUUGACAGGAAUGUUGCGGGACGUUCGUGGUGACUUACCAAGACCCCCCUGGCAGAUAUCUGUGCGGGUGGCUCCAUCCAUAAUGAACUUGGGAUUCCGGCAAACCUCCUGUGGUCAGACACACACACACAAACACACACACACACACACACAAAUUUAGCCAUGUAGACGACGCAAGGAUUCGCCCUCGCCAUUUUUUCAAAGAAGAGCUCUACGAGUAUUCUGAGUGAGAUUUCUGUUGAACUUUGACCUGACUUAACUGUUAAAUAGUGCACCAAAAGAAUCCUUUACUGGUUAAGACUAACACAUUUUGUCUUAUGUCUUGUUUUCUUUUAAAUAUUUAGGGCUACUAUGGCAAAGCCAGAGAACUACUGUAAGUGUCUGGGAUGCGUCUGCUGUGGGUGUAAGCUGUGUGUUGUGCCCUGACCCAUGGGAAGGCAGAGUCAGGGCCUGAGAAGACUUUGACUCUGCCUGAAGCUAAUGCAACACUCCCAUGCAUUGAUGCGCCUUCAUUAUGAUGACAAGGGGUCUCCAGCCAGUUAUUGAAUGAUGCCUUUGUUUUAUAGCUUGUGAAAUACAGUAUAUCUUCAAAGCGGUUUAAAACUGUAAACUGCUUUGAAACCGAUUUGAGGAUAUUCCGUCUCUUCAACUGUGCUUGCUUGUUCAUUGAACGUUCAACUCUGCUUCAUUUGUCGCUGCAUGAAUGCAUGCACAUAAGAACGUGUUCAGCAGGAUUUACAUACAAGGGCAGCCCGACUACGUGUGUGAGAUUCCCAUCAGCAACAUGGUUGGAUUCACAAACAAGUACGCACGCACGCGCGCGCACGCACACACGCACACGCGCACACACACACACACACACACACACACACACACACACACACACACACACACACACACACACACACACACACACACACACACACGCACACACACACAC